AGAGUUUGAUCCUGGCUCAGGAUGAACNCUAGCGGCAGGCUUAAUACAUGCAAGUCGAGGGGCAUCAGCUUAUAGCAAUAUAGGGCUGGCGACCGGCAAACGGGUGCGGAACACGUACACAACCUUCCUUUAAGAGGGGGAUAGCCCAUAGAAAUGUGGAUUAAUACCCCGUAAGAUAGUGGGAUGGCAUCAUACUACUAUUAUAGUUAUGACGCUUGAAGAUGGGUGUGCGUCUGAUUAGGUAGUUGGCGGGGUAAAGGCCCACCAAGCCUUCGAUCAGUAGCUGAUGUGAGAGCAUGAUCAGCCACACGGGCACUGAGACACGGGCCCGACUCCUACGGGAGGCAGCAGUAAGGAAUAUUGGUCAAUGGACGCAAGUCUGAACCAGCCAUGCCGCGUGAAGGAUGAAGGUCCUCUGGAUUGUAAACUUCUUUUAUAGGGGGCGAAAAAAGGGAAAUCUUUCUCACUUGACAGUACCCUAUGAAUAAGCACCGGCUAACUCCGUGCCAGCAGCCGCGGUAAUACGGAGGGUGCAAGCGUUAUCCGGAUUCACUGGGUUUAAAGGGUGCGUAGGCGGGCGUAUAAGUCAGUGGUGAAAUCCUGGAGCUUAACUCCAGAACUGCCAUUGAUACUAUAUGUCUUGAAUAUGGUGGAGGUAAGCGGAAUAUGUCAUGUAGCGGUGAAAUGCAUAGAUAUGACAUAGAACACCUAUUGCGAAGGCAGCUUACUACGCCUAUAUUGACGCUGAGGCACGAAAGCGUGGGGAUCAAACAGGAUUAGAUACCCUGGUAGUCCACGCCCUAAACGAUGAUUACUCGACGUGUGCGAUAAACGGUACGCGUCUGAGCGAAAGCAUUAAGUAAUCCACCUGGGAAGUACGACCGCAAGGUUGAAACUCAAAUGAAUUGACGGG
rnacentral:rRNA from 1 species